UGGAUAGCUCAGUGAGUUAGAGCAUGGUGCUGAUAACACCAAGGUUGCAGGUUCAAUCCCGGUAUUGGACAG